UCUAUAUUUUUUACAAAUAUUUUUUUUCCUUUUCCCGUUUUCCUGCAGGAUUUCUUCCUGUGCUUUCAGUUAUUUUUAAUUAUUUUUACAGUUUCUGAACUUUACAACAUGAAACCAUUUAAUAUAAUUUUCCUGGUACCCUUACUGCCAGAUUCUCACCUUUUUAUUGUUAUUAUUACAAUUUUUUACUGGUUUGUUAAAUUAGUGUUUGAUUGUUUGCAUAAUGCAGCACAUUAAUAAUUAAUAACAUCAGUUUUAAUUCUCUAACAUCAGUGUUUUUGGUUUUUGCUUGUUCUGCUCGUCUCUGGAAAUCAUUCAGCUUUAGAUAGAGUUUAGAACUUUAACUUUUUUCCAUCUUGUGGUUGAAUUUAAUUUCUACUAAUAAUAGAAACACGAUGAAGUCUAAGAAAAGAAGUUCUUCCAGGAGAGACGAUGACUCAAGAACCGGGAAGGUAGACGAAGGUCCCACAGGUCCGAGGGUCCAGACACAAUGUGUGAUUUAUCAGCGAUCAUGUUAAAUGAAUAAAUACGGGAGCUGGGAUCAGGGCUUCCCUCAGAGGUUGAAGGAGGAAGACGAGGGCUGAACAGACUUCCCUCAUAGCAACAGGAAGCAGAAACAAAACGUGAUUUCAUUCCAGAAACUCUCCGUUUCCAGGUGGAGUUCUGAUCUAAAAGUGUGAUUGAUUAAUUCCACUGACACUCGGUGACUCAGAGAUCCAAUCACAGGGUUUAAUCUGUAGAUGAGUUUAGAACCUGAAGCUGCUGUCAGUCGGUGACACACAGAGAAACCAUCAAAGUGAAACAUCGACGCUGUGGCUCCUGGUUUCCGUCAUGAGAGGGUGUGGUUGGUGGAUGAAUGGGUGGAGGGGAUGUGACAGAGGGACAGGAAUUCUGUGUUCACGCUGUAAAAACACAGUUAUCAGCCCAGCGUUGGUAGCUUCUCUGCCAGCGUGGAUUUAAUCCAACAAACACUUCUCUGGACUUCCAACACAACAAACCAGGAAUUAGCAAAUGUUUUCUGUGACGUCCCUCUCUAAUGUCGGCUCCAGGAGAGUCGUAAAGAUUUCCCUCUUAAAUCAGUGCCUGAUCCGAUCUUUCCAGGCUGGACUUUAAUUUGAACAGAAACCUGAUUGGAGUCAGCAGCAUCCUCCCUGCAGACCAGUCAGUGACGGAGCUUAUUAACCAGUCGAGACACUUGUACUUUAGUGUUUCCAUUUGAUGCUACUUAUCAGAAUAUUUCUGCUCCACUACUCUCUGGAAGCCAGUGUUUUACCCAAAAAGCUCCAUGUUUAGCAGCAUUAAAGUGAUGCACACCAAUUCAUUUAGAGCUUAAAAUUAAAGAGCUUUAAAUGAACCGCCUCAUCUAGAAACAAUCACUAAAUACUUAAAGCUAAAGACUUUAGGAUCAUUUUCCAGAACUGGAGGACAUCUGGGCUUCUGAAUGUUAAAAAUCAAGCUUCUCUAUUCCAGUUUUCAGCUCCAUAUUGAUCAGUAAUAGGCACUGAUUGGCUCAACUUCCACAUGGAAAGUUUAUGAUCUACAAGCAUUAUUGCUUACUAAUUAUGUGAAAGCACUACAGAUUAUGUGCAACAUUAGAACAUGUGUUGCUUAGUACCUGUGAUCAAAAACCUUUGAUAUUUAUAGCCUUUUAAUGACCUUGUUAAGCUGCUCUGGGUCUCUGAUGACCUCUUGAGAAACCUCAUAAGGUAGAGAAUGUAGGAAAGGAAAGUACGGUUUGUUCAAGACAGACGUGUUACCUUUGAUUGAACCUGUCUGACCAUAUGUCUUAAACGGACUGCUGUCUGAGGUGUUAAAACCAGCGUAGCAUUUCUGGGAAACAGUUUAUAUAUAAAUCCGCUUUUGGAAGAAGCCUUUACUUUGACUGUUGGGUUUUUUCCCAUGUGCAGACGUGGAUGUACACUGAGCAGACCUGCUGAAGAAUGAGUCUAUAAUUAGCAGAUAUAAUUCACUGUAUAUCCCAUAGACUGCUCUGCUCUCUGUGGGAUUUUGUACCUUUGAAGCUUUAAAUAAAACACAAAAACAACUUGUGAUUGUCAAUAGGUUUAUUUCUUCAACUUGGGCAACUGAUACAGAAUUUUCCACAUCAAUGGUAGCAUUUUUAUUCCAUGUUUCUGUGUUGUUGCUAACCCUCCUCUAAUCCAUGCUAAUGUGAUCUUUUUCUCAGCAGUAGAAGCUAGAUAUUUAGCUAGCUGUUACUGCUGACCAAGAGGACAAACUGAUUUAUGUCACACACGUUUCAAGUCCACUCAGUUUUUCUGUUUUCACGGUUUUUGCCUCUGAUACAUGGGGUGAUUUUUGACAUGUCUUACAGGUGGGUUUGAGGUUCAGAGGGUUAAAUUACGUCAUCACCACUUCUGAGAAACAUGUUUUUGAAAUUAUUGCUGGAAAGUGACUUGAAAAAGUAUUUGAUUACCAAAAUAGCUGCAGAUGGACGUCCUGUCAGUGAUGAACUGUUCCUGCUCUGAAUGCAUCAUUAGCAUGCUGUGUAGAAUUCUAAAAUGGAACUUUUAGCUUUGAAUCUCUGAAUAUAUUUUGCUGCUAAAACUUCCUUGCUGUCCGUUCAGUGAAUAUUUAAAAGCAGAGCUUGUAGCAGCACAUUUACACACUGUGUUAUGCUUCUUUUCCUUUAAUAAAAACCUGAUUAGAUCCUCCGGCGCUGCUUUCAACCUUCGGCCCUAAUCGACCCUGAAGGUCUCGUCAGCUUCCUGCUACCAGCGAAACGUUUAGUCGUCCAGCUGAACGUUCAGGUCAACUUCUUCAUCCUGCAGCUGGUUUUCAGGAAAAGACAGAACAGACAGAAGGUGAUAAAACUACACAUUAUACAGGAAAGGAGUCUAAAAUCCCAUUAGAUCCUGGUGUUUUUGUCCAGGCGGAGACAUUUAAACUCUGUUCUAUACUUUUGCAUCAUUUCUUUAACUCAUGAAAACAUAAUUACUGUUUAACCAGCAGAUUGUGCUCAAAUGUCUGAGUCCUCAUUGGAUUUACUGAAACAGAAGGAUUUACUGUCAACCCUUCAGCUGGGAGAUAAAAAAGGAAUCUAUAAGUGUUUUGCAGUCAGAAGAACCUACAAAUGAUCCUUCUAAAUAUGCCAUCAGAUUCAGCAGUCUACUGCGUUUUCAGAGCUGAUAAUGUGCUUAAAGGAGCAGUAGAGUUGAGCUCAUAGUUUAAAUGUUCUGGUUUCAGUAAAGGACAGAAACUUCAGGGAGUGGUCCAAGAACUCGGAUGACUUCAUUCACAUUUCAUGUUUUGUGCGUUAAAGCUGAGAUGAGUUCAUGUGUUCUUUGGCCUCACUUGGCUCCAGUUCUGCUGGGUUUGACUCAUUUUCUGUGCAGAAAACAUUGAACUGACGGUUUAACGAGCCUUUAAAUGUCUAAACCUCACUGUGAUUCUAAUUCACUACAAUGAAGCCGUAGAUUUAUAGUUUAUUUAACUUUGACCUGGAAAUAGCAACAGACACAAACAGAUGUGAUUUUUUGAAGUUUCAAAUAAAAUCCUGGUGUCCAGCCUCAGAUUUAGUUGGAGAAAAUUUACAUCAAUAUAGAAAGAAAAAUCUGGGAGAAUUAAGUCUUUAAUGGACAACAUUUUAGCCACUGCAGUCUGAAGUUUUUGAAUUUCCUGCUGCCUUUAAGUGGAAUUCAAGCGAUUACAAAAUGAAACUGCUUCACUUUCAGGUCUGAACAUCAGCGGAGUCAUGAAAACAUCUCUACCACGUCCUAACCCUGAACUUAAACCUAACCCCAACACCUAACCUAAGCCCUAGACCCUAGACCUUAACCCUAACCAUAAACCCUUCCCCUAAACCCUAACCCUAAACCUUACUAACCGUGUCCAACAUGGACGCUACUCUCAAUUUAAUGAAGUCUCAGAGGAAAGCCAUUUAUUAAGUUAACAGGUAAAGUAAUGUAGGAAAUGCCAAAUGAAUGCAGAAUGAAAAGACCUUCAUUUUCUGUCCCUCAUUUUCCUUUCACAGAAUAAUCCUGACUGAAAAGUGAACCUCAAACGCCAAAACUGGAGAACUUUGAGCUUCUAUGAUGGCAUCAAUGAAAGUUCAAAGUUAAAAACAUUCCAAACUCCACCUCCUCCUCCAUAGCUGAUCUUUCUAACAUGUUUUCUUAACCUCCAGCCUGACGUGAAGCUUCACGUCUCCACCAGCUCUCAGAGGAAACAGGAGUUUUUUUUCUCCACUGGAUGAGUAUGAAAGAAAGGAGAGCUGAGGUUCAUUCAGACAUGACCUCAACACUCACGUGAUGGUAUCUUCAGGAACAGACGACAGUCAUGACACGCCUCCAGGAACCAGCGAUCCUACGUAGAGUUUAUUCAGAUAGACUCAAAGUUUAUUCUGGGCCACCCAGAGGAACGGACUUUGGGAGGCACCCAAAGACCUCCAGAUGACAACCAGAUGACCUUUAAAAUUCCUGCCAGGGAGCAGUUGGUCUUUGAUCACAGGACUUUGUGAUGCUACCUUGGACUGGUUUAUGUCCUACCUCUCUGGAAGACCGAGUACGUCAUUCUGGGAGGAGCUAAGUCCCAGACACUUCCUGGUGACCCAAGAGUUCGUCCUGUUGUUCUCCCCUCAGCCGUGUCUUCAGCUGGCAUGGAAUCUCUUUCCAUUGAUGACACACUGCUUUAUCUCAGGACACCUUAAUCCCAUCUGCUCCCCCGCCGUCUUCAUCAUCACCAACUUCAUCAGCGCUGUCCAUCCUGAUCACCUGCUUUGAGGAGACUAAGGUCUGGAUGAGUCCAAACUUUCUCCAAAACUGAAUCCAUUCUUGUCCCUCAUCUGGUCCAGUCCUCCUCCAGAACCACCACCUUCUCCAGACCACACAUUCUCCUCUCAUCAGCAGUUACCAUCCUGACAUUUAACAACCACAUCAAACAUCUGUCUUUGUUUUUCCACCUCUAAAACAUCACCAAACUCUGCCCCACCCUCACCCUUUCUGAUGCAGAGGAACUUGUCCGGCCUUUGUCUCCUCCAGGAUGGACUGCUGCAGCACACUUCUCAUCAGGAUCUCAGGAAGAUCCUGCAGAAGCUCCAAUAUGUUCAGAACAAUGAUGUCUCUAAAAACACCAGAGAAUCUUCAAGGCAUUCUGUUUGCUGGACACUCAUGGUGGAAACGAUGCGCUGCUCAUAAAGAUUUAACAGCUAUGGAGAGAAGGAUCGUGGUUGGUCCAAAAAGAUCAGUGGUUCCUUCUUCAUCAGCGGUUUCCUUCUUCAUCAGUGGUUCCUUCUUCAUCAGCGGUUCCUUCCUCUUCAGU